CCAGCCCAGACAAUUCCAUAAAAGGGAAGAGAGGAGGCGCUGAGGGUGUGGCUGUAAGGCUGGGCUCGAGUGACGACACCCAGGCGAACUAGCUACGAGCUAACCUGAAGCUAACCCUGGCUAACCCAAAGCUAAAGCGGAGGUGGGAGCCGAGCUAACGGAUGUAGCCACCUAGCUUCAACCCAACCGGAGCUAACUGGAACACCCAUCGACCUGAACCUCACACGGAGUUUAGGUGGAGGUUUUCUGCGCCUGUUCGUGAGAAGUACCUGUAUUAAAAAAGUUUUAAAUCGAUCUAUUAAAAGGUCACCAUGGCAGCCUGUGUGUCAACGUCAGCUACACAAAGCAGCAAGUCCAUUUGGAUCAUUGGAGACAGCUGAGUGAGGCGUGGUGCCCAGAGAGCUGCAGAGACAACCUUGGCCUCCCUGACGUCUGUGUCUCUUGGUUUGGUUGGGGCGGACCAUCGACAUACAUACAUGUGCCGACACUUUGCGCCCUGUUUUAUAAACUGUAGUGUUAAAAAUAAAUGUUUUUGCUCAA